GACGGACGCUGGCGGCGUGCUUAACACAUGCAAGUCGAACGGAAAGGCCCUGCUUUUGUGGGGUGCUCGAGUGGCGAACGGGUGAGUAACACGUGAGUAACCUGCCCUUGACUUUGGGAUAACUUCAGGAAACUGGGGCUAAUACCGGAUAGGAGCUCCUGCUGCAUGGUGGGGGUUGGAAAGUUUCGGCGGUUGGGGAUGGACUCGCGGCUUAUCAGCUUGUUGGUGGGGUAGUGGCUUACCAAGGCUUUGACGGGUAGCCGGCCUGAGAGGGUGACCGGCCACAUUGGGACUGAGAUACGGCCCAGACUCCUACGGGAGGCAACAGUGGGGAAUAUUGCACAAUGGGCGGAAGCCUGAUGCAGCAACGCCGCGUGCGGGAUGACGGCCUUCGGGUUGUAAACCGCUUUCGCCUGUGACGAAGCGUGAGUGACGGUAAUGGGUAAAGAAGCACCGGCUAACUACGU
rnacentral:rRNA from 1 species